UGAAUUUACUUGCAUGCAAUAUUUUGAACAUCGAAAAAAGACAGGCAUUAUGUGUGUUAACCAAAUUGAUAUCAUUGUGUGAAAAAUCUACACGAAAAUCCGUAUUUUGGUGACAUAAAUCAAUCUUUUUUUAAAACCUGGUCUGUUAAUGGGUCGGAUGUAUAAAACCCGGUCUGUUAAUUGGUCUGUUAAGAGUUAUGAAUGACAAUAAAAGUAUAAUUUUAUUACUAUAUAGGGUGUUAAUUUGGUAGGCUCAAGACGAGCGGCUAAAAUAUACGGAAACAACACUUGAGCAAUGGAACAUAAAAUAUAUACGGAAACAAAACAUGAGCAAUGGAAUAUAAAAUAUACGGAAACAAAACAC
rnacentral:lncRNA from 1 species